CUCUGCUAGAAGGCCACACAACACACUGUUGGGAACACUUCAGGUGCAGCUCUGCUAGAUGGCCACACAAACUGUUGGGAACACUUCAGGUGCAGCUCUGCUAGAAGGCCACACAACACACUGUUGGGAACACUUCAGGUGCAGCUCUGCUAGAGGCCACACAAACUGUUGGGAACACUUCAGGUGCAGCUCUGCUAGAAGGCCACACAACACACUGUUGGGAACACUUCAGGUGCAGCUCUGCUAGAAGGCCACACAACACACUGUUGGGAACACUUCAGCAGCUCUGC